rnacentral:lncRNA from 1 species
AUGGGAAAAACGGCAGAAUGUCCUCAAUGUCCUCGGCAGGGAAUCCCAUAUCAGAAAGACAAGAGAGCUCAGAAUUGCCCUCGGCAGAGAAUCCCAUAUCAGAAAGACAACAGAGCCCACGCCUGUGGUAGAAAGUCCCAUAGUAGAAUGAGAACAGAGCUCAAUGCCCUUGAAAGCCCCAUAUCAGAAUGUAAACAGAACUUGAGAAAUUCCUCCACCCCUUCUGAAAAUCCCCUAAACCAGCCUAUAAAAAACCCAGCUGUAACCUACUUCGAGGUCCAAGUCCCUGCUCUGCUGUGUCGGGUAUACUUGGACCCAAGCUGGAGCUUGCUAAUAAACCCUCGUGAGUUUGCAUUGGUGUCGGCUCCUUGGUGGUUUCCCGGAUUCGCAAUCUUGGGCACAACAGAGAGAACUUUGGUCUGGUGUGGGUGCAGACAGAUCACAAUGAAAAAGUAUUUGUUUACAUCAAGAAAAAUGAUUGUCCGUGGUUCAAAAUAUUGUUUCUUCAUAAGAGGACCUUCUCAGAUGGAAAAAAUGGAGAGGACAGACUAACUGAUCACCCUUCCCAAUCCUCCAUAAUCUUAGAAGAAUAGGAAAAGACCAGCUCUUGGUAUAACGAUAACAAUCUCUUUCACUGCAUGGAAGACAGAAUUGAGUUGCUCAUUUGUGGUUAAAACAGGACUUUUAAAAUAACCAAUCUAGCAAAGGCACUGAGAAUCAGAAACCAAAACAUGUAACAAUUUAUUUUAGAAAAAUGUCCUACAAAGCAAUCUCACAAUUGGAACUUGAAAGGGCCCAGAUACAAUCAUGUUCUAUAGAGGCCCUUGAAAUUGACUAUGGCACUGAAGGGAUUCUAAGCAAUAUUACCCAUGGAGGAAGAGGAAUGGGGUAUCGAUCACAAUGUCAUGUUCUGCCUUCUUCUCAAAUUACAAAGUCAGAAGCAGUCCAGAGUUGAGGAAUGGUGUCCUUACUCUGCUGGUAUCCACCCUGCGUGGGUUAUGAGGGUGGGCUAGGCAGUGCCUUCCUAGGGCUUCUUUUCAGAGAGCCCAUCUCUCAUGAUGAUCUCAGCAUCCCUUCCUCCUGGCCAGAGAGAUGGAUGGCCUGUGAGAUUUCUUCCUGUAUGCCUUCUCAUUUCUCUAUGUCAAGGUGGCUCUAAAUCAGGUUACUCUACAAUCUCUGAAGUUUUCUUUUUAGAAGGAGUUUGGGAAGUCCUGCCAAGCAUAAAGAACACAGCAGAACACAGCAUCUCCUUCCUCCAUGGAGAUGUGAAAACUCAAUACGACAUAAUUUCACCUGAAGCCUCGUCUGCUUACAUGACUUUUGGAAAUUUUAUUAUAAUAAAUAUCCAGGGGCACUGGUUUCUUUUCUUUUUUCUUUUUUUGAUUUUUUUUUUGUUUUGUUUUUAGAGAGAAAGUGGAAAGGGGCAGAGGGAGGAGAGACAGAGAAUCUUAAGCAGGCUCCACAUCCAGAGUGGAGCCCAACAUGGGGCUCGAUUUCAUGACUCUGAGAUCAUGACCUGAGCCAAAAUCAAGAGUCGGAUGCUUAACUGACUGAGCCACACAGGAACCCAGAGGGACUUUUUUUUCUAUGAUUCUAAUCAAAAUAAGUUGUACCCAUUCUUAUAAGGCAUUCUCUUGUACCCCAGAGAUUCUGAGGGUCUAUAUUCUUUACGUGGGGUUUUACCACACCUUUGCAAGCUAAGCCCUUUUGGUUUAUCUAUAUCAACAGCCUCAAUGUCACCUAGGGAAACUGAAAAUUCUUGGACAUCAUCCCAGAUCUAUUGAAUCAUACUCUCUGGGAAUGGAGCCCUGUGGUCUAUGUUUUAACAGAUUAGAUAGGUCAACUUAUCUGAAGUUUACCUUUGUGUUGACUGAAAUAAAACAUGGGCUUCCUAAUCAAAUGAAUAGUUCAAGAAAGAUACGAGGUGGUGGUUAAAACUUCCCAGUACAAAACUGAGUAGCACAGUUUAAGGCAACAUUAUUUACAAAAUCAUAAUAAAUGACUAAUCAUAAGUGGUUUUAUUAAAUGGGUUGAUAUGUGUAAACUAGUGAGACUAGUGCCUGACACAGAAUAAUGCCCUACUCUUUCUUUCCAAGGCCCCAGGCUAGAGGUUGGCACCUAAGGUGCUUUUGUGAGAUGUCAGAGCCCCUGACCAUUUGGGCCCCUAAGUGCACAAAUGACCUCUCCCUGCAUGCUGCCCAAUGGGAUUUGACCAGAAUAAAACAUAGACUUCUACUGAGUAAGCCAAAGAGAACUUGAAUUCCUUUGAGUAAAAUAUCACAUAAUUGAGUUCUGCAUCUGUGUAAUUCUCCAGCAUGAGUUUUAAUGCUAGGAUGGUCUGCUUUAAUGUUUUACCCAAAUGUAUUUCUGUGGCAAGGCUCAAAGAUGACUACAUAGAUGUAAAAAUAUGAAAAAAUCCAUGCUUUUCCAGGGCAUCGUGAAUAUCCACAUUGCAGCUAUUUCCUCUCUGUCAAAAUAAAGGGUUGUGUACAAUUGGUAUGGUGGUUAAAUGAAUGGAUUCUGUAUUGGAACAGAGAGGCAUGCAAAUUCCACCAGUUACUUAGUCUCCUAACCUCGGGAAAGCCACUGAACAUUUCUAAGGAUCAAUUACUUCAUUUGUAGUUGGGGACAGUGUUGUGAUGAUAAAUGAGAUAAAUGUGUUGGAAGUGCUCAUCACAAUGCCUAGCAGGUAGUCAGUGCUAACUAUUGCUAUUCCUUUAUAUAGAUUCGGAGUCAAGAGGAGAAAAAGAGAUUAACAUCCUGUUUCAGAAGCGCCUCCCUGACGCCCCCCCCCCCCAACACCCCUUCCCCGAGUUGGAAAGUUUGUGCCUCAUGCCAGAAUCAUAUUGCAGGAUAGAGGUUAUGUGCCAAGCAUGAAGGGAGUGCAUUUGUAGGAGAA